UAAAACAUCAUGAAUGUAACCAUUGGCCAAAAAUACUUCCUCACCCUGUUCAGAGUCAUGAGAAUACAUUCCAACUGUGUUGAAAAGCUAAGUUUGGGGUAAAAACCCCAAAAGCUCUCAAAGCCCUAGAAAGUGCAAAAACAAAAGAAAUAAGAAAAAUUGAUGAAUCGAGAAAAAAGAAAAAUAAAAAUCAAAUAAUCAAUGAUUCAAAAGAAAAAGCACUAAAAAGGGCAGUCGGUAAAAAUUCAAGAAAUAAACCGAGGAAAUAAAAGAAACGAACACAGAAUGUAACAUCGACUCUGAACCAAGAGACCCUUGUUUUCC
rnacentral:lncRNA from 1 species